rnacentral:rRNA from 1 species
AUUGAACGCUGGCGGCAGGCCUAACACAUGCAAGUCGAGCGGAUGAAGGGAGCUUGCUCCUGGAUUCAGCGGCGGACGGGUGAGUAAUGCCUAGGAAUCUGCCUGGUAGUGGGGGAUAACGUCCGGAAACGGGCGCUAAUACCGCAUACGUCCUGAGGGAGAAAGUGGGGGAUCUUCGGACCUCACGCUAUCAGAUGAGCCUAGGUCGGAUUAGCUAGUUGGUGGGGUAAAGGCCUACCAAGGCGACGAUCCGUAACUGGUCUGAGAGGAUGAUCAGUCACACUGGGACUAAGACACGGUCCAGACUCCUACGGUAGGCAGCAGUGAGGAAUAUUGGACAAUGGGCGAAAGCCUGAUCCAGCCAUGCCGCGUGUGUGAAGAAGGUCUUCGGAUUGUAAAGCACUUUAAGUUGGGAGGAAGGGCAGUAAGUUAAUACCUUGCUGUUUUGACGUUACCAACAGAAUAAGCACCGGCUAACUUCGUG